CAGCAGUUUGCUAUACUCCAUUAGGCCGCUGUAUUCGUAGGUAGUGAUUGUAGUACGCGGCACACCGCGCGGCGGCGGCGGCGGCGGGACCAGACACGACCCUCGUCGCCUUGAUUUACUGCUAUCGAUGACUGCUCGAUAAUGUGAUCUAUACCAAUCUAUGCAGUGAUCUACGGUCCACCCCGCGCCAGCGCACGCAGCGGGGCCACGAGACGUAGGUCGUCCCGUGUCCCCGCCCGCCCCGCCGCCGCCGCCGCCCGCCCCGCGGGGGCGCAAAAACCGACGGAUGCUCGAGGUGAUAUUGCCGACGCGAAUAUAACGCCGAUUUGUUUCUAACAAUCAAUUCAUUUCACACAUUUUUAUAAGAAAUCUCAGUUUUGUAGAGAAUAAUUAAAGAAAUAUUAAAAUACUAA